rnacentral:lncRNA from 1 species
GGAUGUUGUCACUGUUUUUCUCCAAAGCAUGCGCUCAGACAGAACAGCGGGCAGAGGUUGCAGUCUCCUCACAGGAAGGAUUUGAGGAAAGUGUUGAUCUGUAUUUCCACGAGAAUGAAUUGCUGGUUCAUUUAUCAGGUGUGAAGGAGUGGAUGUUAACAGAUGUGGAACAGCUAAUAUUUUCCCUACCCACUUAUCAAGGACAAAGCCAUAAAUGUUACGGAAUGCUACAACUGAAAGUAAACAUCUUCUUCUACUGCAAACUCUACUUUCUGGAUCAGGGCAAGAACAUUUCCUGUCACCUGCUACCAUUUGUGGACUUGGACUGUGAGUGGCGAGGAUGACGAUGUCUCUAAACGGGUAGCCACUUGGCACUCACUGUUCUGAAAGGAAUGAAAGAAUACUUCAGUCCCUUAUAGAAAUCUCUUUAAAAUAAAGAUGGUGGCAGUUUGUAUCCUCAUAUCUAAGAAAUAUGGAAACUAGAACACCAGAGAAAUUUUGAAUUUGGAAAAUUGACUUUGCCUCUCACCAUUUCAGUUAGAUGGCCGAGUGAUGGUGGUUGAAGAACCAUCCUUGGACCAGGGAUGGGGCUUUCUAUUUUAUUCUCCAGAGCACUGUUCCCUAACUUUCAUUUUUUUGAGUUGUAUCCCCUUUCUAUUCUAUUGAAAGCUAUGCACCUUCUCCAUAGAAAAAUGCAUACAGUUGGUAAAAUCUGGUAUCUCAUAAAAUUACCUUUUCUUAGAUUACUCUGCUUAGAACUGGAGCCCCUUGUGUUUAGAAGUACUCUGUGUUUCAAAACUAACCUGACUCUUAUUUUAUUUUCCCAAAAGGAAAUUUGGAAUUAGAAAAGGAAAUUUUGCAUUAGGAAGGUAAGUUGUGGGAAACUGGGAUCCCUCCUUCAAAGUUAUUUAUGUUUAUUGUACACUGGGAUUGACUAUGUCAUACCUUUUCUGGUUUGAAUUGGACAUUUGCUUUUGGGUAAAGAUGACCUCUUUCCUUCUCAUGAGAAAAAAGUUUUCCCAUUGAAAGAAAUGACUUUGAGAAACCUUUAGUUGAGGAUGCAUUUGAUUUUGUAUUUGAGAUAAUAACCUAAUUUAUUUCCAAGGAGAAGAUUUCGAUUCACCUGUCAGAACAAGGCUAGACUACUAAACAGUGACUAUGUAGGUCUGAAAUCAUACCAUUCAGUUUUUUCUGAAAAAGUAUAUAUUACAAGUCCUUUCAAAGUGUCUGCCAACAAAUGGCAGGAGGAGCUAUAUUUUACAGGCCAGAAAAUGUUUUAGAAAUAAUCAAAGCAUCACAGACAGGGAGAAGAAAUUUUAGAGAUGUCUUUGAGCCAGCACAAACUUUUCUUUCCUGGGCAAGUUAGGAUCUCAGAGCCACAAAAACAUGUUAAACCUCAUAGUUCCUAGCAUACACCAGUGUUUGUGUGCUGUCUAAAAAUGAGAUCUACUUAUAAUGUAAAAUGAAAUUUGGGGGUAAAUUUCCAGAGCUUGUUAAUGGACAUGGUUGUUUCAUGUUUCACAUAUAAUUAAGGGUGCAUCAAUAUUUUACAAUAUGUAAUACCUAUCCAUACUUGGCAAAUUUUAGGUAUAAGAACAUACCACAGCACAAUUUGGGAAAUCAGCCUAAGAACUUGGUAUGCUAGGUAUGAACUGAGGAACUUUACUUUAGUGCUUAAUAAAAUAUUUGUGUGGUAGAGAGUCUAAUGUAAACAAGGCACAUGAAAAUGAACUUGGGAACUUGAAGUUAGAUCUACUCUCAGAAACCAAAGACACAGAGAAAACUAUGGACACAGAAGAAAAGUGCAGACCAAGUACUAAUAAUUUCCUUUAGGUUUACUUAAUCCUAGGAGAAGUGAAAUAUUCUUGCACAGGUCAUUUGAAAUCCUUUUCUGGCUUCUCAGUGAAUGAGCUCCUUUCUGUUUGAAGAAUUUCCCACCUUAAGAGUCUUAGUGGGAAGGAGAGACCAUGUUCCACUAUGGGAGUGAAAAAUGCCAGAUGAGGACUCUGCCAGCCUCCCUGAGACCCACAGGCAGGAAUGUGGCUUUGCUGACUUAGAUCCAGAAGGUAGUGACGUAGAAGCAGGGAUUGCUAGGACUUGUAUGGGCUGUGGACAGGGUCCAUUCAGUAAGACUCAUUCACAGGAGCUAGGGCUUGAUUCUGGGGUGGGUUUGGGCAAUGGGUGGGCACAGCUACUGUGCCCUACAGCUUGCACUGGGGUUGCCAGCAGUUCAAGAGGCUGACGGCCAGCCGGGUCUGUGCCCAAGAGCAGUGGGGUUCUCACAGGAGAGGACUGAGGAUUGUUUGGAGCCCUGCUAUUCGUUUAUAGCCUCAAGCCUGGUUCUUGGCUUCCUAGAGAGAAGUCUUUUAAGAAUUCAUUUUUGGCCUAAAUUUAGAGUUGUUUUUGCUGCUACCAAGAACCCUGACAAAUACCUACCCAUGUUUAAUGAUGUUGUAUUUUAAGUUCCCUGCUGAGAAGCCAUAAAACCAGAUUUUUUUCAACAUUCAAUACCUAGCAAAAUGGUCUAUCAUACAGAGAAGACAUUGGAAGACAUUGUAGACUUGAUUGUGGUAUUUUGUCGGGGGCCAGCGUGAGGAAUCCUGCCCAUGACAAGGUCAUGCGGAAGGAAGCCUGACAAAACUCAAGGACGUGAUCAAGCUUCCGAGGUUCCCCCUGGAAUUUCCUGAGCAUCCACCCCCCCAAAAAUAAGAAUCUUCCUGCUUUUCCACUCUUCUGAUAUUCUCUGGAAAAAGUCAAAUCAGGGCUUUAGUCUUCUGCACUUGAAAGGGAUGUUUCAGUUAAACCCCCUCUGAUAACUCUCUAGCUUGCCUAACAGGUUCCCCCGGACCUCUUACAGCCCCCCAAUUGCUUACAGCCCCCCAACAGCGAGAGGCACAAAGCUUAAAGCAUCUUAAAGAUACAGAGCCUUUUCUAAAGAGCUAAAAAUCA